rnacentral:lncRNA from 1 species
GAUGGGAGGGGGAGUGAGUGGUAUCUAUCAGUUCUAAACCAAUGAUCCUCCAUUUAGCUAUACGUGGCAUAUAGCUGUUUAACUGGCACAAAGGUAGUGGGGGAGGAGUUAGUAAAGGGAGCUGUUAACACAGGAAUUUUGUUUACACAAGGUUUGCUUGAUUUGAAGGGGGAUGCUUAUCAGGAUGAAGAAUUUACAUAGUAAACAGCAACUGAACACAUUGUAGGGGGCGAAGGGAAUAUUUACUCUAGCAGCCAGUUUUAACAUAGUGAACACAGAAUAAAUAGACAUUAGUAAAUAGCCAUUUUAUUUUAAUUCAUCUGUCCAUAACAGUCCCCCCUUAAAAUGGCAAUUUUACUAAAACUACUAUCUCUCAUUCUAAUACUGUCCCUAUAGAAAAAUAACAAAAGGCUAUCUUGCACAUCUGUCUGAACAGGCCUCGAACACUUCACUGCGCGGGUACCCCAUAGCAGCUUGUCCACUACUUCUCCCGCGGCAGACUUCUGCCCGUAGAGACAGACGCUAUCCCUAAAUGUCCUUAAGAGGAAGUAGCUGUUGAUUUAGUGCGGUGGGACUGUAAGGGUGUAUGUGGUGUAUCACGGUCGAUGUCGUCAAUCUCUUGGUGAAGGAAGGUCGGGGUGGUCUGGUCGAUUGUCUGAUCAACUGUCUUUUGUAGGCAUUUCUUAAGACAGGGUAACACACAACAAACAAGAAGAGCGAGGAUGAUUAUCGUUAUUAAAAUGGCAACACCUAUUUGGGCCAGAGCACCUUGCCAUCCAGUCAUCCAUCCAAACCAUCUUUCCCAUGGAUCUGUGGCCCCAGAAUUUCGUUUCAGCUCAUUGGACAAACUCUUUAACUUUUCUAUUGCCAACGUUACCUUACCAUUAGGGCCUGUAUUGUCUGGAAUAUAGGUACAGCAUGUUAUGGUGUCUGGGAGUAUUUUACAUACUCUCCCUUUUUCUGCCAAAAUCAUUUUAAAGCUUAUUCUAUUCUGGAAGGUCAUCUGAGAGGUAGCUUGUAACCGCCCUAUCCCACCAUAUAUCCCAUAACAAGUAUAGUUCCCAGGAUAUAUAGUAAUGCCUUCGUUUGGGCAUAAUAUUUUUAGUAAUGAUUGGGUAUUAAGUUUCCAUGACUCGCAUGCUGACCGCUUAGGUUUAAAUACAGUGUAGAGACUUAAAACGCAUACUUCAUAUCCGGAGGAAGGUUCAGGGAUACUGUACCUGGGUGAGGCCUCGCUCCUCUGCAGACAUAGCAGUUAGACUUGUUAUGUUUAGUAGCAUUGUAUUUCAUCCAUUCAAGUCACAAGUUAGUGUCAGAGAAACCUGUCUCUACAGCCCUCUUAUCCUCAAAUAUGGGAUGACUACCAUGUCUUUUAAAGUCCUAAUGUGUGGUUUGAGGUGAUUAACAGUCAUGUGCGUGGCACCUACCCAUUCAGCUGAGUCAUACAUGUCCUGUAAGAAAAAGGUCUCCUGUUUAUUGUAUAAACCUCUUCCCUUCCAAUUCAGAUUUUAUUAGCCGUAAUGCUUGGGAGAAUAGAUUCAAACUUAGUUUCUUACCUUAAAAUCAUUUGGUACCCCCCUUGACACCCCUAUGGCAUUAAUAUACAUAUAUAUAUGUGUGGGUAAAACCACCCUUUAUAGGGGUACUCCUUUUUGUCCUGAAGCAUGAAUGAGGUGUGUCAAGAGUACCUUGGGGAUUGUCAUGUGUUAUGUGUAUGGACAUAAUAACCUAGGCUAGGGCACAUUUACUUAUUCUUAGAAAUCUUGUCUCAUGCUACCCUAGUACUGGCAGAUUCAGAUCAUUUAAACAUUCAAUAUUAAUAUCACCACAAACUCAAGAUAAGCAGAUGAUCCUGAAGAAGCUUUGACUGUGCGUAUGGCACCUCAGACAUGAGGGCUGCAGGGUAAGGAGUAUGUUUGUUUCUCUUUAGUUUCACGAGGUCCCCUUUUGGGGUAUUCGGCUUUCCAUCGAUGGCAGGUGGUCAGGCAUUAUUAUGGCCAUCAAAACACCCACUUGUUGAUAUUUAUUUAUUUAUUUAUUUAUUUUCAACAAGUAUCUUUGUUCUCUAAGAAUGGAGUUUCAAAAAGGGUUGUCAAGAUCAACAAAUGCUACUUCACAUAAUGCAGAGGCAGGCUUGAUUCUGGAAUGAUGAAUCCACGGGGUGAUCUCUGUAACUUUCACAGUGCACUACUCAGCAUGUGGUCUUGGUUAUCACUUUGAUGGCUGGAUAGGCCUCUGGCCAUCCUGAAAACAUGUCUGCUAUAAUUAGUGCAUAGUUGAAUCAGCCAUUCUUUGGCAUUCUGGAUGUAGUCGACUUGACUCCUCUGGAAGAGAUAAUGAGGUUUGGCUAGAUGCUUUGGCUCCAUUCUUCCUGAGUUGCCCUUGGCACAAAUGGCACAAGAUUUACAGUAACUGUUGGUCAGAGAGGCAAUUCCUGAUACUUCAGAGUAUUUAUUGAUCAAAAGAGUUCAUGAGGGUUCUGGACAGAUGCUCCGUAGGCCCACUGCUGAGUAUAUGUUCUUGGGCAAGUAGAACUUGAGAUUGUUGAAGUACAGCCUGUCUUUAAGAGUUGCCCCUUUCUGUUUCCAGCUUGUGGUUUGUUUGUUUUUUCUUUCUUUCCAGGGUCAGUAGCUUGAGGUCUGUGGGUAGGAUCUUACAUGGUGAAUAUGGGAGUUUCUUCAGUAGACACUUUUCUGUCCACUUUCCUUAGUGCACUUACAACUUAUUGAACAACUUAGUCAGCCAGAGAGUUGCCACAUGCUUUCUCCGAGAUCAGUCUUCCUUCAGAGAUCUUGCAUGCUGUGAUGGGAGCCUAUAGCUCAACUUCUUGUGCAGACAUUGUUGAGGUGAGAUACCUGGUCCACUGUAGUGACAGCAAAUCCGGAACAGAUCAUAAGAAAAAUGCUAAAAAAAAAUAAUAGUCAGUGUCUUAUCAUUUCCCCCCUUGGGAAGUGGCAAAAGAGUGGCCAGGUAAAUAGAGUAUCAUCCCUGCAGGGUGACAUUAUCCUGCACAGAAUUCGUCCAUCACAAGGAGAGGUGGGAUAUUGCAUGGAAAGUCUCAGGUAACCAGGGCACCAUUCGACACCAGAGCCUUAACCUGUUAGGGAAUAGUAAGAGCUUGGACAGGCUUUGGGGCCUGUAUAAUUCAGGUAAAGGUAUUGGGGGAACUAGCUAGGACCCUUGCCUCUUGGUCAGGUUUCACUGUGUGGAACAAAAUAAAUAAUAAGGUGAUAGGGGCCUGCAAGUGGGGGAAGGACAUCUGCACCUAGCAGAUUAAUUGGACAGGUGAAAGUAACCACAAAGCAAGGCUUAGUUAACAGGCUACUCCAAAGAGAGCCAUCUACACUUAUGCAGGAGACAACAAUGUUAGACAGGAAUGAGGAGUCAGGCAGGCCUUGCUUGGUACAAAUAGAUGUCAUGUGGCCUGCUAUACAAGGCUGCAUAUAGUUGUUGGGCAUGGGCCUUACUAUGUACUAAAACUUAAGUUAAAAGAAAAUUUGGGACAACCUGAAGUGAUACUUCUCCACAGAUGCUAACUCAUCGUUGAUGACAUUGUUAAUACAGGUAGCCUGAUCAGCCAAUUUAUCUUAGGCUUAAACAAGUCACACCAUGUAGUGGAAUUGGUCAUUAGGAUUCGGGAAAUUCUACAGUAAAAGGGCAUAGUAAGGAUGUACGCGAUGUUACUUUAGGAGUAGGCGUAGCUGUGGAUAGGGGUAAAUCAGCCUUAUCCAUUCCCAUAUAUUAUUCCUUUUGUCUUCAGUAUAUCCAAACCAUGUGUAUGUCCAGGCGUUGCAAUAUACAGUAAUCCAUUAUCAGUCAUGAUAUUAAAAUCUCAUUCUCAUGAAUUAAAUCAAAGAUUUUAAAUCAACCUCAGAAGCAACAAAGAAUAAAUCUAUUGUUUUUUCUUCUGUAAAAUGAUUGGAGUUACUAUAUAAUUGCAUACACCCAACAUAACAUUGCAUGUUCCUCACUGCUACAUUAGUGUAUCUCAUUCUGCCAUAUGUGCAAACUUGAUUUAAAUUUUUAUUUUAAUUAACCUAAUACUUUCUUAUAACACAUAUAAAAACAAUGAAAGACAGUACAGACUAACAAUUCAUUUAAAACAAUAAACUGACAUAGAUCUCUAUUCUUGUGCUGUUCUUAAUUCUGGAAUCAGCCUGUGUACAUCUGUUGGCAGACAUAUCCAUGCUCAUUCCCUAAACUGAUCAUAUCUCUUGAAGUUAUCUGAUUCUUAUAACUUUCUGUGUUACGCUGCAUUGCUUGUCUGUCUCCUAAUUUCCAUAUAUUAUUUUAUCAUUGUCCUCAAAUUUUACAAGCGUGGUCAGUCUACAUGCCAUUUGAGUCGGCAGCCAUAUUUUAAACAAUCUAUUCCUUUGUUCGUCAUUUAGGCUGUAUUUGUCCACAUUUGACUCAAACAUUCCAGCAUUAGUAAAUGCAUCCACUGACGUGUCAUAAACUGGAAUACAUUUCACAAUUUUCAUUAAUUGUUCAUGUAUUUUCAAAUUAAGUUUUGCAGCUCUGUCUUGAAAUUUAUAUUUUCUGCAAAUCACUCUGUGAGGAUACAUUUUCAGUAUCUAUUGGUUCUGGGAUUAGAUUCUGUGUCUGUAUUUUUCUUGUAUUAACACACACUUGCUUAACUUCAUUUCUAAGCUGGCAAAUAAGAUCAUUUCUUAGUUCAACUCUAUCCUCUAAUUCACAGACUGUUUCUGACUGUUUACAGCAUGUGCUCCCUGUUACAUUGUUACACUGUUCAUUUAAAUCUGAUUUGUCUUCUGUUAACCCAUUCAAAUCUACUUCUUUUUCUGAUGAUUCUAAAUUGUCUUGACCUGCAUUACGUUUACAAAUCAAUGCACUGUAAGUACAGACUAGUUUCAUAACAUUUCUGAUCUUUUGUUUUUUCUUAUUAACAAACAAUUUCUUGUCAAUUUCACUAUUGGCAAUUUCACAUUGUGUGUAUAAAGAUUGCCACAAUACAGCAUCUGAAUAGCUGCUAUUAUAUGCAAACUGCAAUUUACUUUUCUCUGCAAUAUCAUUUAUGAAUUCCACAAUUCAUUUGUUCCAACAAAAUCUAACUUUCCUUAUUCCAACAUGCCAAUAACCUCUUACUUAACAACAUAUACAAGAUUACACAAAGUUCCUAACUAGGUUAUUCGUCCAGCAAAUAUACCUUGUUUCCCUCACAUUCCUCACUGAGUUUACAAGCAUUUCACCCAUUCACCCCCCCUGUAGCCAAUACUCAUAGCAGUCAGAGCAAGAGAAAGCAACAAAGAAGGAGGGGGGAGGAGGGAGGAAGACUUGCAAGCACAAAGUUUUUUAACCAUGUGAUUGCCUAAGCACAGCUCUCCUUAGGACAAAAGAUAGAAUAGGAGAGUAACGAUACAAAUUGUAUAGAUUACAAUUAACAUAUAUGGUACCUAACAAGACAUACACAGACAAAAGCACAAAAUACAGAUGUAAUUAAAUCACAAAGUUCUUAAAAUAAAUGCCGGCUUAUAAUAAAUCAAAUCACACACAGAAACACUCAAGCACAUAUACAACAACUUCACUCUUUGUUCGUUGUUUUUUAUUAAAACAACAAAAGAAUCGCCACGAUCUAUUUUUAAUAUGAAUCGGACAAAAAACUAAACCUCCAGGGGCUAUUCUGCACGCCUGAACUUAAAGGAAAAACAACAAAGGAAACGCCACGAUCUAUUCUUAAUCGGACAAAAACUAACCACCAGGGGCUAUUCUGCACACCUGAAUUUAAAUGAAAAACAACAAAGGAAACGCCACGAUCUAUUCUUAAUUGGACAAAAACUAACCACCAGGGGCUAUUCUGCACACCUGAAUUUAAAUGAAAAACAACAAAGGAAACGCCACGAUCUAUUCUUAAUCGGACAAAAACUAA